ACUAAGUUUGUAUGGUGUUUUAGGAAUUGUUGGUAUGUUUGGUUGAGGUCCGGGGGGCUCGGGUGAGUUUUGGGUACUUAACCGAUCAAGAUUGGAAUUUAUGUUAUUGCUGAAGUCUUCAGAUUUCUGGUGUUUUCACACCUGUGGUGGGGAGGCCGCAGGUACGGGACCGCACGUGCGGAAGAUUAAGUGUAGAAGCAGAUUUGGAAGGAGUGUACAGGGGUCGCAGGUGCAAGGUGAAUUCUGCAUCUGCGAUGCCCGUAUAUGCACUAGAGAGACCGCAAGAGCGGUAUAGAACAGUAGAAGCAGACAUGGGUCCGCAGGUGCGCACGCGUAGGUAUGACCUUUUGAUCACAGAAGCUGGCACCGAGUUUUUAGUGAAAUCCGCACCUGCAAUGGGAAUUCCGAAGGUGCGGGACCGUAGAUGCGGUGGACCCCUCGCAGAAGCGGAGAUCACUAGGCAGAAAGGGGAUUUUCGAGGAUUUGAAGUUCAUAUCACAAAAUUCGAUUUGGAGCUCGGUGGAUGGCAAAUUUUUGAGAGUUUUUGCAGAUUUGAGUCAUUCAGAGCCGGAUAUUCGUGGAAAGAGCAUUAUUUCAGAUUGAUUUGAACUUGGUUCGAGAUCCAGGUACUAGCUAUCAGACUCGAGUAUAGCUGUGUUGUUGUUGCUUCAUGAGACUUCAAGGUAUAUCUGUCGCGUCCGUAGACCUCGAAGUCCAUAUGUAUUCCACCCCAUUUUAACCCUUCUAGUAUUUUCUUCUUUUAUUAGACUCUGGAGUAUGGGGGUAUUGUUUCUUUCUUUAGCUUGUGACUUAUGAUAUUUCGGGUUUUGGAGAGUUUAUGUACUGUUUGGAAGUAAUUAUUGUAUAUGUCGUGUGACAUCUCAUUUCCUUGUUUAAAUUUACUUAUUAGUUGUUAACUUU